GAUAGUGCAAAGAAGAAACCGAAGAGGAUCCGAAGAGGCUGGGAAACCGAAGAGGAUCCGAAGAGGCUGGGAAACCGAAGAGAAAACCGAAGAGGAUCGAAGAGAGAAACCAAGGAGGAAAUCGAGGAGGAUCCGAAGAGGAGGUGGCUCUAAAAAAGUGCACGACUAUCAACUCGCUACGGCUCGCUGUCCCAUUCGUUUCAAUUGAGCUGUGUGGCUGGGAAAAAAGCUCCGUUUGACAAUUCUCUCCAAGUCGGGAGGAAAUGUCCUCUGUAAAUGGAGGACUCGCCAAGGUCUCGUCCUGGACAGGAGAGGGGGAGGGAAUCUGACGGACGGAGAGGGAGAGGGGGAGGGAAUCUGACGGACGGAGAGGGGGAGGGAAUCUUGUUCAGUUGGGCUUGUGCCUUCAAAAUAUCUCUGGAUGCAAAAGCCAAAAUAUCUCUGGAUGCAAUAGCCAAAUAAUAAAAUAUCCAUGAAACCCAAACAACAAUUCACACACACAGGAGGUGGCAUCGCAGCCAGCUAUAACCAAUUGAGCUGUGUGGCUGGGAAAAAAUGGACAUCAUUCGUGUCAAUAGAGCUAGAAACCUAGGUUGCUGGGAAACAGUGCACACGGUGUACGCCUAUCAACUCGCCAUGAUGCUGCCGGCCAGAACCGUGGCAUGGGUUGUCCCAAUUGUGCGACCGCACAUGGCCUCGCGCCUGCCUGGUUUGCAAUCACAAAGUUUUUUGUUUUGUUUUCUACUUUCAAUAUUUUUGUAUUCCUGUUCUUGACUCGAUGUGCUCUAAAAUGAAAUAGAAAUGAGCUAGAAACCAACAGGUGGCUGGGAAAAAGUGCACACAGUGUACGCCUAUUAAAUCGCUACGACGCUG